rnacentral:rRNA from 1 species
UACAGAGGGGGCAAGCGUUGUUCGGAAUUACUGGGCGUAAAGGGUGCGUAGGCGGCCCUGUAAGUCAGUGCUGAAAUAUCCCGGCUUAACCGGGAGGGUGGCAUUGAUACUGCGGGGCUAGAGUACAGAUGAGGUAGGCGGAAUUGACGGUGUAGCGGUGAAAUGCGUAGAGAUCGGAAGGAACGUCGAUGGCGAAGGCAGCCACCUGGCAUAAUACUGACGCUGAGGCGCGAAAGCGUGGGUAGCGAACAGG